rnacentral:telomerase_RNA from 1 species
UGGGCCGAGAGGCUGUGCCGCGGUUCCUCUAACCCUAACCUAUCUGGCUGUGGGCGCCGUGCUUUUGCUCCCCGCGCGCUGUUUUUCUCGCUGGCUUUCAGCGGGCAGAAAGGCGUCGGCCUACCGCCGUCCACCAGGCAUUCUGAGCAAAUCAAAAAAUGCCAGCUGCCGGCGCGCCCGCCUCUCCCAGGGCCCUGCGGCGUCCGGCCGCCCCCGCGUCCCGCCUGGAGGCCGCGGCCGGCCUGGGGCCUCUCCGGAGGUGCCCGCUGCCGCCGCGAAGAGUUGGGCUCUGUUAGCCGCGGGACCCGCGGGGGCUGCCGGCGAGUGGCGGGCCACGGCCGCAGGGAAAGGAACGGAGCUGGUCCCUGCUCACAGUGUCUUCCCUGAGCUGUGGGAAGUGCACUGGGGACUGGGUUCCCACAAGC